rnacentral:tRNA from 2 species
GGAGAGAUGGCCGAGUGGCUUAAGGCAACGGUCUUGAAAACCGUCGAUGGGAAACCAUCCCAGAGUUCGAAUCUCUGUCUCUCCG